AUUGAACGCUGGCGGCAGGCCUAACACAUGCAAGUCGAGCGGUAACAGGGGAAGCUUGCUUCCCGCUGACGAGCGGCGGACGGGUGAGUAAUGUAUGGGGAUCUGCCCGAUAGAGGGGGAUAACCACUGGAAACGGUGGCUAAUACCGCAUAAUCUCUUAGGAGCAAAGCAGGGGAACUUCGGUCCUUGCGCUAUCGGAUGAACCCAUAUGGGAUUAGCUAGUAGGUGGGGUAAUGGCUCACCUAGGCGACGAUCCCUA
rnacentral:rRNA from 1 species